GGAGGGUAGCUCAGUGGUAGAGCGCGUGCUUGGCAUGCCCGAGCUCCUGGGUUCCAUCCCCAGGACCUCCA
rnacentral:tRNA from 1 species